AAAGACAUUUGUUUACAUAUAUAUUUACCCUAAUGCUAGUAAAACAUAAACCCAAUGCUUGCCCAUUCCAAGUUUUGAGUUAGCAUAUCUUAGAGCUCGUAAGUCUAUAUCCGAGUUAGUUUUGAGUUCGUAAGUAUAUACUUUAAUUUAUUGUUUUUAUUUUAUUUCAUUUGGAAAGAGCUACAUUAUAAUUAUUCGAUCGAUAUAGUUUUAUAUUAAGUUAAUGAUGUAAAUAUAGUUAAUAUAAUUUCCUUUUGAAAAUAUUUUACCUCUAAUCAUCAAGUUAAGUUAAUAACAUCAAGGUUUUAUGUUAGUGCAUGGAGACACCUCUAACUAAAUUGAGUAGUUCACAUGAAGUAAUCUCAAUAUUCUGACUUUGGAAUACCUAAUUAAUCAGGUAUCAACAGUAAAGAAUUGUAAAGGAGGAAUUAUUAAAGUAAUUUGUGACGACAUGAAUGGUAGUUUUAAAUUAAAUUGUUAAAUGUAUGAGAGGUGGAGACGAAAAUUUAGAGAGAGAGAGCAAUAUAGAAAACAUAAAAAUAGGAAGAGGAGAGGAGAGGGGAGUUGAAUGGAAGUGAACCAAAAGGUAGUAGAGUCAAUCAAUUAUUGAGAUGUUUGUGAGAGAGGGGAGCAUUAGUUUAUUAAAAUGGAAUGGGAGGGAAGAGGAAGAGGAAGAGGAAGAAGGGCAUCGGAGGGUGAGGAAUGGGUGUGAUCUGAUACAAGAGGACGUGGAGGUUUCAGAUGGAGAGGACAGAGGAGGUGGUGGUGGUCAAAGGUCAAAGUGAGGAAUGGACCAUACACGUGGCAGAGGGGGUUGAUGGAGGUGUCAUUAUCGGAGCUGUGUGUGGGUGGACCCCAAUUCCCUUGUCACCGUCACCGUCCUCUCAUUUCCUCUCUCUUGCCUCUCUGUUUUUGGUACUCUCAUUGCGAAGACGUAUUCGAUCUUGGAGGCUUCAUUAGUACGUUGUUAUCUAUCAUAUUUAGAUUGAGUGUAUUUUUUGUCUCCUACUUGUAUCCUCCUUGUUACCUGGAUAAUCAAAUGGUAUGAUAUGACAAUUAUUUUUCUUAAAUAGCUUCAGGCUUCUCUAUUGAGAGAGAUCAAUUCAAGCCUUUUAUAUAUCUCCUUUAUGUAUUUAAUCUUUUUUAUUAUGGUUCUUCCUUAGUUUACAAAAUCACCUUCCCUUUGUUACAAUUCAAUAAAAUAGAUAAAUUAAAUA